ACACUCUUUUCUAGAUUUAAC
rnacentral:misc_RNA from 1 species